UACGUAGGGUGCGAGCGUUGUCCGGAAUUAUUGGGCGUAAAGAGCUCGUAGGCGGUCUGUCGCGUCGAAUGUGAAAACCCGGGGCUCAACUCCGGGCUUGCAUUCGAUACGGGCAGGCUAGAGUUCGGUAGGGGAGUCUGGAAUUCCUGGUGUAGCGGUGAAAUGCGCAGAUAUCAGGAAGAACACCCGUGGCGAAAGCGGCUCUCUGGAACGGUACUGACGCUGAGACGCGAAAGCGUGGGUAGCAAACAGG
rnacentral:rRNA from 1 species